CGUUCCUACGGGGGGCAGCAGUGAGGAAUAUUGGUCAAUGGGCGGAAGCCUGAACCAGCCAAGUCGCGUGAGGGAAUAAGGCCCUACGGGUCGUAAACCUCUUUUGCCGGGGAGCAAGGGCCGGGACGCGUCCCGGCCCGGAGAGUACCCGGAGAAAAAGCAUCGGCUAACUACGUGCCAGCAGCCGCGGUAAUACGUAGGUGGCAAGCGUUAUCCGGAUUUACUGGGUGUAAAGGGCGUGUAGGCGGGAGAGCAAGUCAGACGUGAAAUUCCAGGGCUCAACCCUGGAACUGCGUUUGAA
rnacentral:rRNA from 1 species